rnacentral:pre_miRNA from 1 species
UAUGGCUUUUUAUUCCUACGUGAUUGUAGUCUGGGUUCAUGUAGGGGUAGAAGCCACGAA